CCAAUAGCGUAUAUUAAAGUUGUUGCAGUUAAAAAGCUCGUAGUUGAAUUUCGGGAUCAAUUUGUUGGUCGUGCCUCGGUACGUACUGGCAUUAUUGGUUUCUACCUUCUGAAGAACCUUGAUGUCAUUAAUUUGGUGUCUUGGGGAAUCAGGACUGUUACUUUGAAAAAAUUAGAGUGUUUAAAGCAGGCAUACGCUUG
rnacentral:rRNA from 1 species